rnacentral:rRNA from 1 species
AUUGAACGCUGGCGGCAGGCCUAACACAUGCAAGUCGAACGGUAACAGGAAGAAGCUUGCUUCUUUGCUGACGAGUGGCGGACGGGUGAGUAAUGUCUGGGAAACUGCCUGAUGGAGGGGGACAACAGUUGGAAACGACUGCUAAUACCGCAUAAGCCCACAGGUCGGCAUCGACCAGAGGGAAAAGGAGCAAUCCGCUUUGAGAUGGCCUCGCGUCCGAUUAGCUGGUUGGUGAGGUAACGGCCCACCAAGGCAACGAUCGGUAGCCGGACUGAGAGGUUGAACGGCCACAUUGGGACUGAGACACGGCCCAG